GCUGCGAGCGUUUCCCCAGGGCCUCCGGCUAGUCUAAAAACUCACUUUGGAGGAGAGGAAGGAGCGUGAAGUGGCUCUUUCGAUCUGAGACACCCCCUCCUGGAGAAAUCACCCCCUCCCCCCAGCCCAGCGCGGAGUGAAAUCUUAGAAGCUGCCGCUGCUGGGUUUGAACGGAAUGCCGGAGUCGGUGGAAGCCGGAGCUGGUCCGCCCGAAGGACCUAACACAGUGCCUUGCCCUUAGCAAGCCCUCCAUAAACGCAUGUCAAAAAAGUGGACAAAUAGAGUGGCAGUCUUCUCCAAUCAAGAUCCCUUAAAGAGAGGUUGGACUGGUUGCUGAUGGACGACUUCUAGCGGCGGCAGCAGCAGCGUCUUCAGACACCGUGCGGGGACUCGCUGGCUCUGCGAGGGUCUCUCUUUAUCCCCCAACCACACCUCGCCCACUUGCCAGCGUCAGGAGGAUCUGAGAGUCCGAUAGGGGUCUUGCGCACCCAAGGCCGCUCGCCCCCGUCCGGGUCCUGGUGUGGGCCGCAGGCCGGACGAGGAGGGGAGCCAGGACGCCUCUCCCACUUCCUCCCAUUCCUCCUUUCCUUGCCGCCUGCCCCCCCCCCACCAUUAUUUCCUGCUUCCCCAUCGAAAUCGGGAGGGCCUG